GGUUAAAAACCAUUUCAAAUGGUAUAAAAUUGAAAAAUUCAGUUGAAAUUAGAUCAAAUAACUAAAUCAACUAACUAACCAAAUAGUUGGAAACCAUUUGAAAUGGUUUUUAAUAUUCAACCAAAAGGGAAUUUAUUUUGCAUUUGACAUUCGAUUUCUAAAAUUAGUACUACUUGUUCAAAGAACCGUCAAAUUUAGAAAAAAAGCGUAUAGCGAAAUCGUGUAUAUCGAGUAUGGCGUAUAUCGGGGAAUACCUGUAUAGCCACACGAGGAAGGCGCUGCUUCGCGUUCACAUGAAAAUGUGGUAGUGUGAAAUCAAGUUUGCAAGCGGUAGGACGCGUCGGUGUGUGUCCGUUUUUUCUCUCGUGAAACCAGUACGGAAAAACUAUUUGAAAUCGUAACACACGCACGAACGGAAGUGAGCACGGACCACAACAGAAGCAAUAUUCAAUUGGUUGGAGUGCCGAAAACAGAACAGGAGAGGAAAGAAGGCAGGAACGAUUCGAUCCUCCAACGUGCUAGCGCCUGGUAGAGGAGAAGCGGCAGGAAGGUAGAGACGAACAUCCACCUCGCUAGUGCAGCACGUGGGAGCAGCAAGAGGGAAGCAAGCAGGACGCGUACACACCAUUCGACGAAGGCAAAGCUGGAGGAAAGGAAGAACGAGGAGAGAAGGCAGGCAAGACGGGUACGUGUGUAUCCCGCACCGGUUUUAGGCAGUGUGAAUUGUGUGAGUAUGUAAAUAUGUAUGUGCGAGUAAGAAGGUAAAAUAAAGAGUGUAAGCAUGUGCAGAAUGGACAAAAGAGAGUAAGAGUCUUUGUAGGGAGAAUGGAGAGAAUGAAAGAAAUUGAACAAUAAUGUAGUAUACAGAAACUAGAUGUAUGAUACACGCUGUCGCACCGUUGCAGAGACGUGCUCUUUAGUGCUGCUAAUGAGCACGAUUUGAGAACGUUUUGAGCCCGUUGUUUCU